CCCAAAAGCAUGUUCUCACGCCUUGCUCCAGAACGCAGCUCUUCUCAAAGAAGAGCCACUGUUGAAUCAAUUCUGCAAUAACCUGGAACCAGGAGAAAUUUAAUACUCACAUUCAACACCCUUUUCGCAUAAAUUAAUCUGGAUAAAACAAAUAGCAAGGAAAGCUCCAAGGGGAAAAUCUGAAAGGAAUUCUUGACAAGAAGACCACCUACACCUUUGGGGGUGGGUGCAAAGCUGAAAAGGGGAGCCCGGUCAGCCACCCCUGCUUCCUGACUGCGUCACAUGAUCACCUCAGCCCUACUUCGGCACCAAGCGAUGAAUGCCAGUUCCUGCUCUCUAACACACUUGUUUCCAUGCCACCUUCCAGAAAAGGCAGCAGAUUCCUAAAGGUUAACAGCCAUUGUCAGGUGUGGCUCUCUAGCUAAGAAGUUAGAACGUUUUAUGAACACAUCAGAACUCUUAUUGAAAAGAGUAUUUUCCUUCAGGAUCAUUUUGAAGAGCAACAAGCCUAUUGAAAUACUACUGCGUUUCACACAGUAUCAGUGGAAACCUUCCCUUGAAAUUAAUAAACCUUUUCCAAAAACUCAGA